AGUACAAUCAAAGGAAGUAUGUGAAACAGCCACUUAAAACUCAUUAGUAUUUAGCUGUUAACAGAGAAAAGUUUUAGUUUUGGAAUGUACUGGGUAAUUAAUUUACCAGAGAGCCAUAGCAUGAUGAAGGGAUAAUCCAGAUCACUCAAGACUAUCCUAAUAGGCCAAACUGCCCUAUUCAAAGUGAGACUUUGACACUACUUUUGAUAGAGUGGGUAAAGUGAACAGUGAGAGCAAAACAAAUCCCCGCUAUAUACAUUAAAGCUUAAAACAUGCAGACCCUUGGGAUAAACAAGUUUCGUGCUCUUUGGGAUCUGUCACCUGGCAAGGGCCUUCUCCUUGCUUUUUACCCAUUUCUAAGGCUGCAUUGCUUUGCUCAUCCAUUUAGUUGAUCAAAAUGCUCUAAAUGACUUUAUGCAGGACUGUGGCUUCUUUGGAAGCUUACUUACUACAAACACUCUAAAUAAGGAUAGAUAGUUCCAAGACCCAGGGGAUUGAUAUUUGUUGGACACAGUGAAAAUUUAAAAGGGACUUUGAAGGAUAAAGGACAGUUAUGAUUUGGAUGAGCAGAAAGGGCGUAUCUUUCUCCAUUUUACAGACUAUUUUUGUAUUCCUAUUAGAACUAGUUGGCCACUGUGUUGAGCAUACCCUCUCUGGAACUGUUUUCUACCCACAGCUCUUGCUUUACCUUGUAUCCACCCUGUGAAUCUGAAGAAAUAAACUGAAUAAAUAAUUUAAAAUGUUAUCAUCUUCUAAGCCAAAAAGUCUGUAGAACUAAGCUCAACUUAUGUUGAAAUAUAGUCAUGAACACACACAAAACUCAACAAAAUUGACCAUUUUCUUCAAAGCAAUGAAUUUAAUUUAAUAUACUUUAAUCCUAGAUGUGGAGCUCCUUGAAAACAUUAUUUACAGCACUCAUGACCAUCUGUAUUUAUAUCACUUUCUUCCUCAAUUGCAGCCAGAGUACUCCACUAAGCAAUCUUCAACCCUGGAAGACAGAUUUGAAUGCAGAAAAAAUCAUGUCUUUAAUUUUAAAAUUAGCAAUAGACUGAGUACUCAGAGAGACUUGAUUGCCAUUUAAGAAGUUGCAAUGUUUUAAAUUCUAUUUCCCAGAGAUUCAAGCCUGCAAUUAGAGAACUCUG
rnacentral:lncRNA from 1 species